GGGGACGUCUUGCUUUGACGAGGCGAUUUGUUCUUUAACAUCUGCAUACCGACUUUGACGAGAGAAGUCGUAAAACAGCGUCAAAAAAUAUCUGUCAAAUCUUUUGCACAGACAUUUGUUGCUAAACUCGAUGAAGUUGGUGCCAAAAUCGCCAGCGCUCUCGGUUUAGUCGCAAAUCCAGCUUAUACUGCUUAAUUUUAAGUAAUAUAAAUGGCAUUUACAUCUGAGUCGCUCAUGGCGAUGGUGUGGGUGGAAACAUACAUGAGCCGUAAGUCUGGACUAGUCACUCAGACCCAUAUAAACGACUACCCUCAAAACUAUCUUGGUCUGAUAAUUACCUAGUAGUUGAGAGGUUAAAAAAUAAAUUUAUCUAUGUAUGUAGAUGGUGUUAAAAACUCGCUCCGGACGAGGGCUCACUGCCCUCCGUCUCCACAA
rnacentral:tmRNA from 1 species